CUCGUACACUGUAUUAUUUUUCACCCCCUUUGCACUAACUUAGUGAUGAAAAUAAACUUCACCACAAUUUGCUGCUAACUAAAAUGGAAAAUAUAUCUACUGAUACUUAUCGCAGACUAUUAGAUAUAUAUAUUACAACAUUGAGACUUACUGGUAUUUGGCCACUAUUACCCUCAGCUAAAAUCGGCUGGAAAAUAUUCAAUUUAACUUACAGAUUUUUCAAUUCAAUACUAGUUAUUUUUUUCCUCAUAACUUUAAGCGCUGAUGCGUUAGAUAACGUAACAGAUUUAACUAUUUUUGGCUGCGAUGGAUGUUAUUUUUUUGGUUUAACAAUGAUUAUUUUCAAAGCAUACAGAUUUAAUCUUUCUUAUGAAAAAAUACUAAGGUUAAUUGACUAUGUUUACGAUCCAAUACAUAUACUUUCAAAAACAUCUGAUUCUGGAAUAAUAAUGAGUAUUAAAAAUUGUAUAUUUCAAGAAAAAUUGGAAAUAUCAUUUUUCUGUGUGUCGUGUAGUUUGUUUGCAAUAACGGUUCUAUUUUUGGUUCCACAAGAAAAAGGCGCAAUACCAAUACGAUGUAUUUAUCCAUUCGACAGUAUCAAAUCUCCUAAUCAUGAAAUAGUUGUGUUGCACCAGUCUUAUGUUAUGGUAUACUCACUUGUUAUUUUGAUCGCAAUGGACGCGAUGACUGUAGGAUUUAUUAGAUGGUCAACGAUACAAAUUCAAGUAUUGACAUCGAAUUACAAAAAUUGUAAUGUUUAUUCAAUAAGACGUGCAACGCUAGUUUCUCCAUUACUAACUGACAAGUCAGUAAAGAUAGAAAAUAAAUUAAAUAAUAUUGAAAUAUUUGAUGAAGACACAGAAAUAUGUGAAUUUUUGCCAUUUUAUUAUAACGAAAUGAAGAAUAUUGUUGAAGAUUCAUUUUUCUUGCGAUUCAAAACGUGCAUAAAAAAUCAUCAGAGAAUUAUUGAAAUGAUUAAUGAACUUAAUGAAAUAUUUAGCUCAUCAUUGUUGGUUCAAUUUGCAACAAGUACUGCUAUUAUUUGCCUUAAUGGAUUCCAAAUGAUUGUAAAUUCAAAUGACACAUCGAUGUUUAUCAAAUUUUUGUCAUAUUGGAUAUCAUGUUUCGCCCAAUUACUUUUCUGGUGUUGGUACGGCAAUCAAUUUACUAACUUGUAUUGUAACAUUUUGUUUCAAGGCAAACACUUUGACGUACAACCAGUGGAUGUCCGGAUGGGAAUAUGUAUACGAAAAAAACAAAAAUACUGAGUUAAGAAAUCUUGUUACUAUUUCAAUGAUACCUACACUACGACCAUUAGAAUUUAAAGCUGUUGGUCUUUUUGUUUUAUCAAUGCCGACGUUUCUUAUAAUCGUUAAGAGCUCAUAUUCAAUUUUAGUACUUUUAACAUCAGUUACUACAGACUGAACAAUUGAUUAAUCAUAAAUCUGUACACCUCAAUUGAAAUCGAUGAUGACUUCAAAAAAAAAAUAUCCUAUUAUAAUCUUCUGAUAAUAGAUACAUCAGAGGUGUAUGAAGUCACAAUAACUCGACAUCUCAUUGGUUGAAUAUAGCAUAAAUAUAUACAAAUUUACACAUUAAUACACAUUGACAUAAAUGUAUAAGAAUAAAUAUAAAAGUUCAUUCUAGUAAUGAAGAAUAAUUUGACUAAAUUUUGAGUAUAAAAUUAGUCAUGUUAUUUAGGUAAACUAAAAACCUUAAUAUACGUAUAAUGAUUGUAUAUUUAUUAG